AAAUUCGACAAAACCACUCCUGAGGUUUGAAGCCUCAAGCCGCUCUCCCCGCCGAUGCCUCCAUUUCCUUUACAGAGCUAGUGGUUAAGCUCGUGGAGUUCUGUGGCUACUCUGUAGAUUGGAGGUGUCAAUUGCCAGAGGAAGGUGUUCAAAAAGGCAAACGUCAGUGGUGCUAGCGAGAAGAACGAAGAUGAAGACGAUUUCUCUUUCGCAUGCACCAACCCCGAUGGAUUGCCGAUUUCCGUCGACGAUAUAUUCCAAAAUGGCCAGAUUCGUCCGGCGUUCCCGAUUUUCAACCGGGAUCUCCUAUUCUACAAUGCCGAUGACGACGAUUCUUCCAAGCCAAAGGGGUUGCCGCUUCGUCUUUCUCUCUGCGGCCGCCAUUGAUGAAGCUCUUCUUUGAUGAGCGGGAUACGCCAACCUCGGCAACGUCGUUUUACAACUCAGGAGGUGGACUCAGGUCCUGAUCCAUGAGAUCAACCAGCUUCUGAGUUUGAUCAUCAACACCUUCUACAGCAACAAGGAGAUCUUUCUCCAUGAGCUCAUCUGUAACGCCUCUGAUUGGGGCAUAGGCGGGUUCAAGCUUGGUGGAGUUGGUGAUUCAUGGAUGGAUGUCUUGGAGCUGAUACGGCUAUCUGGUUGAGGGAACUUCUGGUCUUGGUGGCAGAUUUGUGGGUCUUUUGUGUGCAACUAUGCUGCUUUGUGCGGUGGUGAUGUCUCCUCUCACGGCGGCCUUUGUGUGCUUAGGAUAGGGUUUGCCAAAAUCCUAGCUUUGAGUGUGAACUGGGCUGUAUGCUUAUUUUUGGGCCCUAAUUGUAUUUGGGGUGGGCCACUGGACUUUGUGUGUUGUUUUAUUUUGAGUUAUUUUUGUUAUUGUACUGGGUAUGAGAACUUUGUUCUAAACUUGGUUUGAGUUUAGAUGUUCUUUCCUGGUUGUGUUACGGUUCUGUUAUGCCAUUGGUUUGUGCUUUGUACACCUGCCUCUUC